rnacentral:rRNA from 1 species
AGCGAACGCUGGCGGCAGGCCUAACACAUGCAAGUCGAACGAACCUUUCGGGGUUAGUGGCGGACGGGGGAGUAACACGUGGGAACGUGCCUUUAGGUUCGGAAUAACUCAGGGAAACUUGUGCUAAUACCGAAUGUGCCCUUCGGGGGAAAGAUUUAUCGCCUUUAGAGCGGCCCGCGUCUGAUUAGCUAGUUGGUUGAGGUAAUGGCUCACCAAGGCGACGAUCAGUAGCUGGUCUGAGAGGAUGAUCAGCCACAUUGGGACUGAGACACGGCCCAAACUCCUACGGGAAGCAGCAGUGGGGAAUCUUGCGCAAUGGGCGAAAGCCUGACGCAGCCAUGCCGCGUGAAUGAUGAAGGUCUUAGGAUUGUAAAAUUCUUUCACCGGGGACGAUAAUGACGGUACCCGGAGAAGAAGCCCCGGCUAACUUCGUG